GGAAUAUUGGUCAAUGGGUGAGAGCCUGAACCAGCCAUGCCGCGUGCAGGAAGACGGCCUUCUGGGUUGUAAACUGCUUUUAUCUGGGGAUAAAAAGCUCUUGCGAGGGCAAUUGAAGGUACCAGAUGAAUAAGCACCGGCUAACUACGUGCCAGCAGCCGCGGUAAUACGUAGGGUGCAAGCGUUGGCCGGAUUUAUUGGGUUUAAAGGGUGCGUAGGCGGCCCGUUAAGUCAGUGGUGAAAACCAGCAGCUCAACUGUUGAUGUGCCAAUGAUACUGGCGGGCUAGAGUACAGACGAGGUAGGCGGAAUUGACAGUGUAGCGGUGAAAUGCAUAGAUAUUGUCAAGAACACCGAUAGCGAAGGCAGCUUGCUAGCCUGUAACUGACGCUGAGGCACGAAAGUGUGGGGAUCAAACAGG
rnacentral:rRNA from 1 species